rfam:Schistosoma haematobium scaffold633_26, whole genome shotgun sequence.
GCUUGCUUCGCCGGUGUGUAUACUAAAAUUGGAAUGAUACAAAGAAGAUUAACAUGGCCUCUAAGCAUGAAUGACAUGCAAAAUCAUGAGGCAUUCCAUAUUAUU